rnacentral:rRNA from 1 species
ACGGAGGGUGCAAGCGUUAAUCGGAAUUACUGGGCGUAAAGCGCGUGUAGGCGGUCCUGUAAGUCUGAUGUGAAAGCCCCGGGCUUAACCCGGGAAGUGCAUUGGAAACUGGCGGGCUUGAGUACUGUAGAGGGUGGUAGAAUUCCCGGUGUAGCGGUGAAAUGCGUAGAGAUCUGGAGGAAUAUCGGUGGCGAAGGCGGCCACCUGGACGAUGACUGACGCUGAGGCGCGAAAGCGUGGGGAGCAAACAG